CCCUUAGAUGUCCUGGGCCGCACGCGCGUUACACUGAUGCAUUCAACGAGCUUAUAACCUUGGCCGAGAGGCCUGGGCAAUCUUUUAAACGUGCAUCGUGAUAGGGAUAGAUUAUUGCAAUUAUUAAUCUUGAACGAGGAAUUCCUAGUAAACGCAGAUCAUCAAUCUGCAUUGAUUACGUCCCUGCCCUUUGUACACACCGCCCGUCGCACCUACCGAUUGAAUGGUCCGGUGAAGCCUCGGGAUUGUGGCGAGUUCCCUUUAUUGGGAGUUUGUCGCGAGAACUUGUCUAAACCUUAUCAUUUAGAGGAAGGUGAAGUCGUAACA
rnacentral:rRNA from 1 species